rnacentral:rRNA from 1 species
GACGAACGCUGGCGGCGUGCUUAACACAUGCAAGUCGAACGGAAAGGCCCUGAGCUUGUGGGGCGCUCGAGUGGCGAAGGGGUGAGUAAAACGUGAGUAACCUGCCCCUGACUGUGGGAUAACUUCAGGAAAAUGGGGCGAAAACCGGAUAGGAGAUUCUGAUGCAUGGUGGGGGUUGGAAAGUUACGGCCUUUCGGGAUGGAAUAGAGGCUUAUGAGCUUGUUGGUCGAGUAGGGUCUUACCAAGGUUUUGACGGGUAGCCGGCCUGAGAGGGUGAACAGCCACAUUGGUACUGAGAUACGGCCCAGACUCCUACGGGACGCAGCAGUGGGGACUAUUGCACAGUGGGCGGAAGCCUGAUGCAGCGACGCCGCGUGCGGGAUGACGGCCUUCGGGUGGUAAACCGCUUUCGCCUGUGACGAAGCGUGCGUGACGGUAAUGGGUAAGGAAGCACCGGCUAACUACGUG